UCCUUCUCAGGGUUGCACCUGGAGAGUUUCCAGUAAUCUACCAGUCUCGAUUAAGGGAGGGAGAGGUCAAGCUGAGGCCUGCCCAUUCCAUGCCUAGCUUGGGCAGUGGCUAGCGAGUGGAAGGCAAUCUGCUACAAAU